GAUGAACGCUAGCUACAGGCUUAACACAUGCAAGUCGAGGGGCAGCAUUGGUAUAGCUUGCUAUACCAGAUGGCGACCGGCGCACGGGUGAGUAACGCGUAUCCAACCUGCCCCAUGGGUUAGGAAUAAACUCCCGAAAGGGAGCCUAAUACCUGAUGUUGUGAGAAGAAGGCCUCUGAUUUUCACGAAAGACUUCGGUCGCCGAUGGAUGGGGAUGCGUACGAUUAGGCAGCAGGCGGGGUAACGGCCCACCUGGCCAACGAUCGUUAGGGGUUCUGAGAGGAAGGUCCCCCACACUGGUACUGAGACACGGACCAGACUCC
rnacentral:rRNA from 1 species